GGUGGUGGUGGCGGUGGUGGUGAUGGUGGUGGUGAUGGCGGUGGAGGUGAGCCGCAGUCGCUAAAGCAGCAGCUGUCACGCCCGGCAGCCAAGGUGCUGGCCCUCAUGAGGAGUCUCCAGCCCCUGCAGGGCCCCACGGCCACUAGGACCACGAUGGGAGAUCAACGGGGAGAAGACGCAGCUGAGGAAGUAAUACGGCAUCCAUCCCGGACCCCACCACCAUCAUCAUCACCACCUUCAUACAAACCCAUCGCGGUUAGCGCUACCUGCCGACCACGAGUGGUGGUGCCUGGAAGAGGCGGAGGAGGCGGAGUUACCGGAGGAGGAGG